UAGCAACAAGUAUUGGUACGACCAAAGCAGUUUGAAAAAUGCCGAAUGAUUGCGAAAGUGGUAUAUGACGGGAAAGUAAUAGCUGUAAGAAUCUGAGCCUCUUGUAGGAAGAAAAUGAUACAAAUCCAUGCGGUGCAGAGGGGUUUUCAAAUGGAAGAAGGUUCCUUUUUGAUGUCACGUUUUGUGUGCAGUACUAUUAUGAAUGCGUUCACGAUAACUACGUGCAACGUCCAUGCGCAGCCGGGACAAAAUUUGACGUGAAAUCAACCACGUGCACUUGGGAAAGAAAUAUCGCCGCACGUCAAGGUAGGAUUCAUUAUUCAAUUCAAUUCAAUUCGUUUAUUACUCCAGACCGCUGUGGUCCAUAUAAAAACAACAUACCCAAUAAACAUAAGCAAAACAAAAAUAACACAAUAAAUACAUAAAAUACCUGAUAUGACAAUCAGAUUCACAGUAAGUCUCAAAAAA